rnacentral:rRNA from 1 species
GACCCGCGGAGGAUCAUUACCGAGUGAGGGCCCUCUGGGUCCAACCUCCCACCCGUGUUUAUUUACCUUGUUGCUUCGGCGGGCCCGCCUUAACUGGCCGCCGGGGGGCUUACGUCCCCGGGCCCGCGCCCGCCGAAGACACCCUCGAACUCUGUCUGAAGAUUGUAGUCUGAGUGAAAAUAUAAAUUAUUUAAAACUUUCAACAACGGAUCUCUUGGUUCCGGCAUCGAUGAAGAACGCAGCGAAAUGCGAUACGUAAUGUGAAUUGCAAAUUCAGUGAAUCAUCGAGUCUUUGAACGCACAUUGCGCCCCCCUGGUAUUCCGGGGGGCAUGCCUGUCCGAGCGUCAUUUCUGCCCUCAAGCACGGCUUGUGUGUUGGGCCCCGUCCUCCGAUUCCGGGGGACGGGCCCGAAAGGCAGCGGCGGCACCGAGUCCGGUCCUCGAGCGUAUGGGGCUUUGUCACCCGCUCUGUAGGCCCGGCCGGCGCUUGCCGAUCAACCCAAAUUUUUAUCCAGGUUGACCUCGGAUCAGGUAGGGAUACCCGCUGAACUUAAGCAUAUCAAUAAGCGGAGGA